rnacentral:rRNA from 1 species
CCUACGGGAGGCAGCAGUGAGGAAUCUUGGUCAAUGGACGAGAGUCUGAACCAGCCAAGUAGCGUGAAGGAUGACUGCCCUAUGGGUUGUAAACUUCUUUUAUAUGGGAAUAAAAUGUUCCACGUGUGGGUUUUUGUAUGUACCAUAUGAAUAAGGAUCGGCUAACUCCGGGCCAGCAGCCGCGGUAAUACGGAGGUUACGAGCGUUAUCCGGAUUUAUUGGGUUUAAAGGGAGCGUAGGUGGAUUGUUAAGUCAGUUGUGAAAGUUUGCGGCUCAACCGGAAAAUUGCAGUUGAAACUGGCAGUCUUGAGUACAGUAGAGGUGGGCGGAACUCGUGGUGUAGCGGUGAAAUGCUUAGAUAUCACGAAGAACUCCGAUUGCGAAGGCAGCUCACUGGACUGCAACUGACACUGAGGUUCGAAAGUGUGGGUAUCAAACAGGAUUAGAUACCCGAGUAGUC